rnacentral:lncRNA from 1 species
CAAAAAGCAUGUCCUCCUUGGAAAGUAUGCAGUGCCUCAGGAAAAUGUUUCAAACUUAGUGAGCAUACAUUUAUGUUAAUCAUUUGGUCCUUAUUUUAUAACUUUUCAUAAUUCUAGUCAUAAAUAGGUAACUUCAAACUCUGUUGCCUCAACAAAAUAUAAACUAUCCUGAUUUUGCCUGCUAUCAAAAGGAUAAUGACCCAGACAUAAAAGGAAGCCUGUAUCCAGCCGCUGAAAAUGUCAGUAUCUUGAGUGAAUACUCUGUUUCGUGGGACGAGAAGUAAGAGCUGAAUCUUCUGAAAGAACGCUAAAGAUAAAGCUCUCGUGGUCAUUGCUUCACAAUAAAACUCAGUAAUAAAAUCCACACUAAGUGUGCGUCCUGCUUUGACAGCUGAAAUGAAGGAGGCAUGUGGGUUAAAUUCAAAUGCAUUCUGGAGGACUGUACUGUGAAGAGCAGUUGCUGUGAUGACUUGAUUAUUUAUGAAAGUCAGAGUUACCAGUGGGAGAGAUAUAUUUGCUGUUGCCACUGAGAUUAUCACGGACUUUAAGAAAAUAGCUAUCUAUGGGGAACAUUAAUAGCAAGCAGUUGGACCCAAGAAGUUACAAUCCUGCUGUUGCCACUUGCCAUUCUGGACUCUCCCCCUGGAACUACAAACCAAAAUCAACUCUUUCUCCUGUAAGUCUGUUUUGUCAUGGUGUUUCAUCACAGCAGCAAAAGGAAGUUGUGUUACAGCUGUCAAAAAUGAUGGGCUACAUAAUCAGUAACAGCAAAUAGAGUAUUUCUUUGAAGCCAUUUCUGCUGGAAGGUGUGUAGAAUAUCCAUUGGAGAGUGCCAAAGAACACCUGCCAAGAAGUGAAACCCAGCAGUUGAAAGUCAGAGAUAAAUAAGGAACUGUGCUAUAACUGUCUGGAAAUCAUGAAAUAUUAGACUGGGAAGGCAUUGUGAGAGUACACAGUGAUCCCCUGUUUUAUGUGAUGAAGUGUUCUGGAGGGAAAUGAGUUAUCUCUGUGUAACCUGCUUUCACUGUUAGGUCUUGUGAAUGUGCAAUUGUGUCAAUAUAAAGGAAAAGGAGCCCUCUAUUUCCCAAAGCAAAGUGCAAGAAGCCCUACACAUUUUGAGCAUCAUGAAAAUGCAUACAACAAUGAGACCACUGAGCAAUUGGUCUGAAAAACGAAAAGCUAUUCCAUAACAAAGCUUGAGAAUAGGUUUUGCCUGGGAUUCUAAUCUCACCAUAAAUUCAGAGUAUUAGUGGACAAACUCUCCUGGAAAGGGAGCAGGCUGCUUCGCCUCACUGGUGAACUGAGAUGGAAACAGAGAAGGGUCUCUGAGGCUUGUCACUAAAGCUUAAAUGACUAUCCACGUUGGGAAAAUGACUGGAGAGAUACUAUUGGAAAGAAGUCAAAUAGAGAAGCAAAACUGAUGUCCAAAUCACCAGCUGCUCUCCUUGGAAGAGAAAAUUAGAUUCAUGCCACAGGACAGAAACCAGGAAAAAAAGGAAAGAAUUUUCUGUUUGAAAUUGGAAAACUGGAGGCAGUGCUGUUAGACCCCCGAAAACUCAAGUAUCCGGGGUCUCAGGCCAGGUUCACGGUCACCCCAAUCACCAGGCGGAUUCGAGAGCUUGCUGCAAACUGCACGAGGCUUUAUUGUAAUUUAACGAACUAACCCCAUGUUAGCUCGGGUCUUUCACCCACCCGCCAUGGCAGACGGCUAGAAAAAGACGGCUCCUAAGGUCUCC